AACUAAGCCAAAUAUUUCAUACACUGCAGUGUAUCCACAUGGAGCUGAAAAACACAGCUUCUAUGUUUCAUGGAGUCCCUUAAAUCGAAAUAAAUUUGAAGUAGUCUGCAAGAUAUGUCGUCCUUUGAAUUUUAGCUGAAUUCCCUCAUUGAAGAAUUCAACGUCCCGAGCCACAGCACCCAUGCUUGAACACAACCAUGGAGACCUUUUUCUCUGAAGAAGCCACAAAUAUUCUUCACAUGAGAAAAAUAAAGGAACUCAAAAGAACAAGAAAAAAAUUAUUUUAAGAAAAACUAGAAGAAAGAUACAAUUCACAGUCUUUAAAAUAAGAACAAGUCCUACUAAAAACAUCUAAAAUAGGGCAAAAAAAAUGGAACUGGAGGAAGUAAAGUGAACUACAAAAAAUAAAGAGUAGAGAAAGGGCCA
rnacentral:lncRNA from 1 species